UAAAUAGAUAGCUAGCUAGCUUUGUAUGGGCAUGGCCUUAUAAUUUCUCGCUCACUCUUAUUUACUAUAUUCUCUGUUCUACUUCGCCUCCUCCUCCUCCUCCUUCUCCGUAUAUGACGAGAUCUGAGGGUCAAUUCUUCGUUCAAGUCCUGGUCAUGCUUUUCCACAGCUUUCUUGAACUUCUUGAGCGUCUUAACUCGCAGAUUGGAAACCCUAGGAGUUCAAGAAAGCUGUGGGAUAACAUGGCGAUUCAGGCUUUCUUUUGUUUUUUUUUUUGUUUUUCCAUUUUCUGUGCUGUGAAGAUCGAGAGAGUUGCAGAAUUUCCGACGAACCGCGACGACAACGGCGUACGGUGAAUUCCCGAGUUGCUCUUUUUGUUAUCCUUAUCCUCUCGCCGACUCUGAUUCAUUAUAUCUCAUAUGCGGAAGAGAACGCAGGACCCAAAAAGAAAAAAAUAGAACCGGUGUACCGGAAAAAUGUACAUCAAAUCUCUUCCGAUUUCAACGAAGGAAAACGAAGGUACGGCUGUCAAUUUGCAUAGAUUGAAUAGAUUUCUGUUUGGGUCUUGGAUCCUGAAAGCUGAAAAACAAUAGUUUAGUGUUAAUUAUUACAAGUGAUGAGGAAGAAACACGUUGUUAAUUAUUUGAGCCAUGCAGGGGUAUAGUAAUUGUUGUAGAAUUUUAUGGUGAAAAGUCGUAACGAGAAUCUGGUAGAUUUGAAGUGGUGAAAAAGAAAAGUUACAGAGAAUUGCUGUUUGAAUUAAUAAUAAUAAUAGUAGUAGUAGUAGUAAUAAAAAUAAUGGCGCAGAAGAGUAGCAGAGAGAAAGAAGAAAGAAGAUUCCCAAAGGAGGACAUUUAUAAAUGAUGAAAGUUUCUUAGUGUUGGGCCUUUUAGUGAAGGCGAAUCCAUAUCUCUCUUCCUACAUUUCUGUGAAAAAGGUUAGCCUUUGUCACCAUGUGACAUCAUUUUUUUUUUUAAACCACUCCCUCUUCUCUCCCACCUGACAUCAUUUUUCAAUUUUCCCUCUCACAUUUCACAUUUUAACCUCUUUCUCUGCUCCCCUCUCCCUCUGUGUGUCCGCCUGUCUCUUUCUCUCUACGUAGCCAACUUGGUGCUGAAAUCACUGUAAUUUAUGACUCUUUGUUGUCACUAAAGGUAGGUUUUCAAUCCUUUUCUCCAUUUUACACAUAAGUUCAAGGCAUCUCAGUUUUACUGAUACUGGAUAUUGACUACUCCCUUUCCAUUCCUCAUGUAUCUUUCAAUAACUCAUACAACCACAUAUUCUUCUUUGAUUGACAAUUUUAGAACUCACCUUAGAUCUUUCAAUUUUACAGCCAAAUCCAAUUCCAAAUGAAUAAUUAGGUUAAAACAACUUAAUUAGAAGCAAUAUUUUUUAUUAAUUAAUCAUCAAAUUAUUUGUUUAAUGAGCUGGUUAAUUACUUCUGCAUAUAAUUGACAUGUUGAUGUCAGCAGAUUAUUUUGGUUCUUAUUCUCAUGUUCAUGUUUCAAUUCAGUUUAUAUAUAUGCAAUGGAUAGUAUUCAGCACCAGAAAUCUUGCCAUUGAAGUCAAAAGAAGCUCCGCGAUAUGGUAUAGAGUUAUAGCUAUAUAAAUGAAGAAACAGAUAUAUGGAGAAAAUAAGAUUAACCCAAAAUAGCACCUUUACCAAAUCGUAAAGCAUAAAGUUUUACAAUUUGAAGGUUUAGCCAAAGGGAAUACAACAACUUGUGCAGAGGGGGUUGGUCCACCAAAAAUCAGGUUAAAAAAUCAGACGCUCGACAGAGAGGCAUGGCCACGUUUCCGAGCUUCCUAAGAUAUGAUUAUUAUAUAGUACUCUUUGUAUGCGUGUGUUUAUAUGCAUUAUGCAGUAACAGUGAAGUGCCAUAUAUUAGGCUAACUUUUACAUAUUUUUUCCCUCAAAUUUUUGGGGCGCAGAUGGGAAAUAGUGGGAGGUUUGAACACAGACACACGAAACCUCAACUGAGAAUCACAUGAAUCUCAGUUUUUGAACUGUGACACAACAUUGUAUGAAUGUUGUGGCAGGAGGAGAAGUAAGAAGGAAAAAAAAAGGCUUAAAAGAUCUGAAUUCUGAGCCAUGUUUCAUAGUACGGAAUUAUUCUUUACUUGCUUUUUGAGACCAUAGUUUGAAUCCCCAGCUUUUGUUUUUCAGAAAGAAGAAACACAGUUUACUACUUGUGAUUAACUCUUGUACAAGUAUCUGUUCUGCAAACAUUAUAGGUGUGCCACGCAAUGCAAUAUAUAGAGUAAAAGAUGUCACUCAUUA